rnacentral:lncRNA from 1 species
AUAGGUCAUACUUGGAUUGUGUUAUCUCUAUAGACUCUUUAAGAUCCUGUAAAGACUCUUAAAAUAAUUUCUUGAGUUAUUGAGCUAGAAUUUCUUAACUUCUCUACAUCUUAUUUAUAUUUGUUUCUAUUUUAGGUGUCAGUACUUAUAUAAAUCCUUUCUACCUCUGACAGGAAAUUUUCUACUUAAUCCAUUUUGUUAAUUCAUAAUGCUUUAAUGAAAUGGCUGUAGUUUUGAUGUUUUUGAGUGAUCAUACUCCAUUUUUGUAUACUUGCUUUUGACAAGAAACAUUGGGGUAUGUGGCCUGUAGCUUCUUCCAUUCUUUGAUCUAGUCAAUU